CGGGCUCCUGCGGUGCGCGCUGUCCCUAGAGCCGCAGCCCCCAGCAGGAAAAUGGCGAAGCGCGGAGGGCAGCUCUGCGUGGGGAGCGCACCGGGCGCUCUUGGCCCCCGGAGCCCCGCGCCACUGCCGCUGCUACUGCUGCUGGCUGGACUGGCGCUGGUAGGCGAGGCGCGCACUCCCGGGGGCGAUGGCUUCAGCCUGCACCCGCCCUACUUCAACCUGGCGGAGGGCGCUCGCAUCACCGCGUCCGCGACCUGCGGCGAGGAGGCCCCGACGCGCAGUGUCUCACGCCCCACCGAGGACCUCUACUGCAAGCUGGUUGGGGGUCCGGUGGCUGGCGGAGAUCCCAAUCAGACAAUCCAGGUGAGCGCGGCACGGAGGAGCUGGUUACACCAUCCUGUGGUGUUCCACCUCUAG